rnacentral:rRNA from 1 species
CCUGCGGAGGGAUCAUUACUGAGUUUUUAACUCUCCAAACCAUGUGAACUUACCACUGUUGCCUCGGUGGUCGGUGCUGGAAACAGUGCUGCCACCGGUGGACUACUAAACUCUUGUUAAUUUUUGUCAAAUCUGAAUCAAAACUAAGAAAUAAGUUAAAACUUUCAACAACGGAUCUCUUGGUUCUGGCAUCGAUGAAGAACGCAGCGAAAUGCGAUAAGUAAUGUGAAUUGCAGAAUUCAGUGAAUCAUCGAAUCUUUGAACGCACAUUGCGCCCAUUAGUAUUCUAGUGGGCAUGCCUGUUCGAGCGUCAUUUCAACCCUUAAGCCUAGCUUAGUGUUGGGAGACUGCCUAAUACGCAGCUCCUCAAAACCAGUGGCGGAGUCUGUUCGUGCUCUGAGCGUAGUAAUUUUUUAUCUCGCUUCUGCAAGCCGGCCAGACGACAGCCAUAAACCGCACCCUCUCGGGGGGCACUUUUUUAAUGGUUGACCUCGGAUCAGGUAGGAAUACCCGCUGAACUUAA